UAUUCUUUAUUUAUUUUAAUGUUGGAAAUUUUUCUUUUUGGAGGAGGUAGCUUGAUGGGGGGUUGAUUUUAGGGUUUUUUUGCCAUUGAUUUGCAAAAUGGAAAAGAUAGGGUUUUUUUUCCCUUUUUGAUUCCACCACUCUCGCCCUUCCUUUGGCUUUCAGAGAUUGAGCAAGAGAUUGAGCAGCUCCUAUUUUCCCUUCUAUUCUUUUUCUCCAUUUCUUUUAUUCUUCUUUUUACCCUUAACCAAUCUUUUUUUUUUACCCUUUUGAUUACUUGUCCAAUGUGUGGGAAGCAGGGAUUUAAAUAGCGGU
rnacentral:lncRNA from 1 species